rnacentral:rRNA from 1 species
AUACGGAGGGUGCAAGCGUUAUCCGGAAUCACAGGGUUUAAAGGGUGCGUAGGCGGCCAUAUUAGUCAGUAGUGAAAGGUUGCAGCUUAACUGUAAGACUGCUAUUGAAACUGUAUGGCUUGAAUUAGGAUGAGGUAGGCGGAAUGUGUCAUGUAGCCGUGAAAUGCUUAGAUAUGUCAUAGAACACCGAUUGCGUAGGCAGCUUACUAGACCUAUAUUGACGCUGAGGCACGAAAGCGUGGGGAGCGAACAGGAUUAGAAACCCUAGUAGUCC